rnacentral:rRNA from 1 species
GACGAACGCUGGCGGCGUGCUUAACACAUGCAAGUCGAACGGAAAGGCCCUGCUUUUGUGGGGUGCUCGAGUGGCGAACGGGUGAGUAACACGUGAGUAACCUGCCCUUGACUUUGGGAUAACUUCAGGAAACUGGGGCUCAUACCGGAUAGGGGCUCCUGCUGCAUGGUGGGGGUUGGAAAGGUUCGGCGGUUGGGGAUGGACUCGCGGCUUAUCAGCUUGUUGGUGGGGUAGUGGCUUACCAAGGCUUUGACGGGUAGCCGGCCUGAGAGGGUGACCGGACACAGUGGGACUGAGAGAGGGACCAGACUGCUACGGGAGGCAGCCGUGGGGAAUAUUGCACAAUGAGCGGAAGCCUGAGGCAGAAGGGCCGCGUGCGGGAUGACGGCCUUCGGGUUGUAAACCGCUGUCGCCUGUGACGUAGCGGGAGUGACGGUAAUGGGUAAAGAAGCACCGGCUAACUACGUG